rnacentral:lncRNA from 1 species
UUUUUUCAAAGGAAACUAUCUCAUAAAGUACCCGACCAAAAGAGGAUAUAAAUUGUUGUCCUGGGUGCUUGAAUUGUUGUUACAAUUUUUAUGCCGUGUUAUAAAGAUUGGGUGGCUAGAUGAUCAAAUGUUUUAAGUCAACGGGUGAAACUCGAGUUGACUGAGUUUGGGUUCGGGUAACAUCCGAUAAUAUUGGUGUGGGUUUAGUAUCAGUCAAACUCACACCCAAAAUCCAUACACUCAUCCGAAAUAUGUUAAAUUACCGAUGUGUGUGUUAAAGUAAAAUUAGAUUUUUCACAAUUUCCUCUCAUAGAAAUAGAAUGUCUCUCCUCACUCACUCCAUUUUUCCGCUGCACACUCACUCCACUACUUGGUUUGAUUCUCGUUCAUUUUAUUUAUGUCAAGUUGUAAGAUGGAUGUCUGAUACCUCCGACGUGUAGUUAGUGAAAGAAGCAUUGUUGUGCAAAAGCUGCUACAUGGGAGUCAUAUUUUUUGGAUCGGCAGACCAGGUUUGAUGAACUCAUGAAAGAUUAAAUAGGAGACAAAAUGAAUAUCAGAGUUGGAUCUAAGUUUGAUGAUCCGAUUGAGCUUUAAUUUAUUAUGGUU